rnacentral:rRNA from 1 species
CUGGCGGCGUGCCUAAUACAUGCAAGUCGAACGGUCUUUCUAUGGAAGCUUGCUCCACUGAGAAGAUAGUGGCGAACGGGUGAGUAACACGUGGGUAACCUGCCCAUAAGAGGGGGGAGUAACAUCCGGAAACGGGUGCUAAUACCGCAUAGUUUUCUUGAUCGCAUGAUCGGGAAAGGAAAGACGGCCUUUGUGCUGUCGCUUAUGGAUGGACCCGCGGCGUAUUAGUUAGUUGGUGAGGUAACGGCUCACCAAGACGAUGAUACGUAGCCGACCUGAGAGGGUGAUCGGCCACAUUGGGACUGAGACACGGCCCAAACUCCUACGGGAGGCAGCAGUAGGGAAUCUUCCGCAAUGGACGAAAGUCUGACGGAGCAACGCCGCGUGAGUGAAGAAAAGGUUUUCGGAUCGUAAAACUCUGUUGUCAGAGAAGAACAAGUUGGAGAGUAACUGCUCCAGCCUUGACGGUAUCUGACCAGAAAGCCACGGCUAACUACGUGCCAGCCGCUGC